AGCGAACGCUGGCGGCAGGCUUAACACAUGCAAGUCGAACGCCCCGCAAGGGGAGUGGCAGACGGGUGAGUAACACGUGGGAACGUACCCUUUGGUUCGGAAUAACUUGGGGAAACUCAAGCUAAUACCGGAUAAGCCCUUAUGGGGAAAGGUUUACUGCCGAAGGAUCGGCCCGCGUCUGAUUAGCUAGUUGGUGAGGUGAUGGCUCACCAAGGCGACGAUCAGUAGCUGGUCUGAGAGGAUGAUCAGCCACACUGGGACUGAGACACGGCCCAGACUCCUACGGGAGGCAGCAGUGGGGAAUAUUGGACAAUGGGGGCAACCCUGAUCCAGCCAUGCCGCGUGAAUGAUGAAGGCCUUAGGGUUGUAAAGCUCUUUUACCCGGGACGAUAAUGACUGUACCGGGAGAAUAAGCCCCGGCUAACUUCGUGCCAGCAGCCGCCGUAA
rnacentral:rRNA from 1 species